AGCAGCCGCGGUAAUUCCAGCUCCAAUAGCGUAUAUUAAAGUUGUUGCAGUUAAAAAGCUCGUAGUUGAAUUUUAGGCCUGGCCGGGCGGUCCGUCUUUGGCGAGUACUGUCCUGUGUCGGGUCUUCCUUCUGGUGAACCAGCAUGUCCUUUAUUGGGUGUGCUGGGGAGCCAGGACCAUUACCUUGAAAAAUUAGAGUGUUUAAAGCGGGCUUUUGCUUGAAUAGAUUAGCAUGGAAUAAUAGAAUAGGACGUUGUGGUUCUAUUUUGUUGGUUUCUAGGACCACCGUAAUGAUUAAUAGGGAUAGUUGGGGGCAUUAGUAUUCAAUUGUCAGAGGUGAAAUUCUUGGAUUUAUUGAAGACUAACUAUUGCGAAAGCAUUUGCCAAGGAUGUUUUCAUUAAUCAAGAACGAAGGUUAGGGGAUCGAAGACGAUCAGAUACCGUCGUAGUCUUAACCAUAAACUAUGCCGACUAGGAAUCGGGCGACGUUAUUUUCAUGACUCGCUCGGCGCCUUAUGGG
rnacentral:rRNA from 1 species